CCAAAUGGCUUUCACUUUAGCCACAGAUUCGGCAGAGAGGCAAACUCAUCAAACCGGAUUAUCAAUCACCUAGAAGAUACUGCUUCCCCGUUCUAUCUUCACCAUUUUGAAAAUCACAACAUUGUCAUAGUCACACCGGAAUUCACUCCAACCAACUAUCCUUCCUAGAGGAGAUUGUUCUAGCUCGCUGUUUCAAUUAGAAA
rnacentral:lncRNA from 1 species